UAGAACUACAGUAUGCUGGGAGAAUGAACUGAAGUGGAUCUGUAAUAAUGCAAAGAGCAAAAGCUGGAAGAAAGAGGUCACUGCAGCUGCAUUUGUGACUACUGUUGCAUUGCUAUGGAGGUACAAGAAUCUGAUCAGAUUUGAAAGCAAGACCUUUGAUGAAGAUCAAUGCUGUAAGGAAGUAACAAUGUUGUUACAUACAAGAAAUAAGAAUCGAAAGAAGUGGAAGGAUAACUUACAAAAUCUCAAUACAUUUCCUUAGUUGGUUGAGAAUUAGAUGUUAGUUUGCUUUGUAUAUAA
rnacentral:lncRNA from 1 species